AACUCUUUUCCCACUUCAUUUAUGCAGUAACUAAAUAGGGAGUAACUAUAAAGGGCGAAAUUACGAAAAAUAUUCAAAUCCUGAAACAGUUCUAGUUCAGAAACCACAUGAAAAUUCCUCUAUUGCCGUAAUAUUCUGUUGAUUUUAAGAAAAUUCAAACCAUUAAUGCUAUAUUGUUAAUUCAUCAAAUAAAAGGUCCUGUAAAUAGAUUUUCAAAGCACAAUUUUUGGCAAAGAUGUACAUAUCCUGUUUCUACGGAGAUAGGGGAACGUCAGAGGCAGCUUUAAGGGUUUAAUGUUGUUUUGUAUAUUAAUAUAUAAUAUAUAUGUAUGAUUGUAAGCAUUUCUGCAGAGCUCUGAUCUCUGCAAUGCUCUGUCUAGGGAUGUUUAUACAUGUAAACUGCUAGAUUUCUGUACAUUAUAUCACUUAAAAGUGUGGAUCAAAUGUGUGUGUGAGGGUGUGCAGGUAUGUGUAUUACAAUAUUACUCUCACUGUGUGUAUUCACAGAUGUGUAUUGUAUUUCACCAUUAAUAGAUAUCAUCAAAUGUAAUAUAACUUAUUGAAAAACAAUGAUGUGUAGAGAUACUUCAUGUUGUGCAGCCUGUGUUUUGUACAGAUACAUUUAUAUUUUAUACAGCGUUACCUAUUUUGAAACUAAUUUUAUUUGUAAAUAUCAAUCACAUGACUGUCAUGUGACGAGGUGACUACUACACCCUCCAUCUGACUACACUGAACAGAAGGGAAUUUAUUUAUCAACUUUUGAACUUAUAUCCAGUGAUAUGGGAGUUGUCAUUCGUUUUACAAGUAUUGAUUAGGAAAAUUAUGUGAACAUUUAGUUUUCCAACUGAUUGGAUAUCUGAAAGAACUAAUAAAACUGAAAUGCU
rnacentral:sRNA from 1 species